GACGUAGGAGGCGAGCGUUGUCCGGAUUCAUUGGGCGUAAAGGGCGCGUAGGCGGCCCGUCAAGUCCCGUGUGAAAGCCCCCGGCUCAACCGGGGAACGGCGCGGGAAACUAGCUGGCUUGAGUUCGGGAGAGGGAAGCGGAAUUCCGGGUGUAGCGGUGAAAUGCGCAGAUAUCCGGAGGAACACCGGUGGCGAAGGCGGCGCUCUGGGCCGGUACUGACGCUGAGAAGCGAAAGCAUGGGGAGCGAACAGG
rnacentral:rRNA from 1 species